AAAAAAAAGCAGCAAUCGAAGUCAGGGGAUUCAAGGGCUAUUUCCUGGUCUUUUAUGACAGUCCAUUCAUUUUACUGACAUUUUAAAUCUAAUAAACACUCUCAUUUGCCCCAAACCAAAAAUCCUAACUCUUCCUGCAUUACAUGUCCUAUUGCCACCAUGAGUGACCUUCCAGGGUGGAUGUUGGCACAGCUCCCCCUGUGCUUUCCCCUAAAGGAUAGGGCCCUAAGGAAAAUCAGGCUUCAUGCACUUUCCUGUGACCUGUGGGCCUUCCCUCUCUGCCCACUGUUGCAAAUUUCCAAGAAUUUCUCACAGGCUCACUCAGGCAUGAGAAGCCUCCAAGCUGCCAUGUUUUGAAAAAGUAGUGCUGGCCAGGCUGCUGUGACAGCCCCUCCCCUGGAGACCAAGGCCAAGGUCCCCACGGGAGGUCCAAGUCCUGAGCAGCAGGCCCCAGAGAGGGCUGAGGGGAAGUGGGAUAUGGGCACUUGGUUUGCUUUUAAAAUCUGCUCUGGAGCCAGCGUUUAGGUUUGGGCUUCCUGUGUAAGAGAGAAGGAAUUCCCAUCACCCCUGGACUUGACACUUCCCUGUACAAAAAUAAGUCACCGUUAAAGAACACACUUUGAAUAUAGUAAACAGGGUUUGUAUAAAAUAAAAAGGGUCAUUCUGCAUUGUGUAAGAAUGCUUUUUACGUUUAAAGAGGCCAUGUGACAAUGAACUCCGUACUUUGGCCUCUAAAGAAAAUCUCCUUGGAUGCUAUAUUCAAGGUGUUCCUUCCUUUGCCCCUCCCCCCAUUUUUUUUUUUUUUUUAAUACAACAGCUACAUUGGAGUUUCAGAGAAACUGACUUUCAGCACCUGUGCUCCAAGAUCUUGUUAGAUUCCCCAAAGUAUCGCCACAAUCAGGUUCUUGUAUUUCUUCUGAAAACCAGCCCUGUUGAAUGAGAUCUAAAGUGGACCCGUUAGAUCUUUAGUUGCUGAAAUAUUAGGACAGGAGCUCGGUUUCCCUCUCUUUUUUCCCCCUAAAACCAAAACCAUGGAAGUUGAUAUUUCCUAAACGCAAAUGGUGAAGUACAAACUUCGAAGGCAAAUUAGGCAAAUGGAGGAUGAUUCAUACGUAGCCAACUGGCAAGUCUGUUAAACUCGGGAGCGAUCAGUAAAAGGGAGAACUGGUGCGAGUGUCAUUAAUCAUUUGAACACCGCCCCUUCCCUCAGUCCUGUCUGGUGCUCUUGGCACUUUGAUUGCUGCUUUCUCAUUGGCAUCUGUAUUUCUAUUAUAAAAAAAAAAAAAAAAAAUAAAGUAGGUGUUUAAAAGUAACUCUGGUAAAUCAGAGAUACACAGUCCCUCCGCACCUGCAGAUUCUAUCACCUGCGGGUUAAAUUAAGGUUGUGGAAUCCGUGGCUUCGGCUGCCAAUUAUACUGGCUUCCAACCCCAUUUCUAUAUUCCGUUCCCAGUGUCUACACCUCUUAAAAUGUUUUCAGCUGGGGUAGGGCCCCUACGUUUAAACUGAAGACAGGAUCCGAAGUCCUGUCCUGGCUCAGCGGUUAACCAACCGGGCUUGUAUCCAUAAGGGCGUGCUGUUUGAUCCCUGGCCUCGCUCAGUGGGUUAAGGAUCCGGCAUUGUCAUGAGCUGGGUGUACGUGAGAGACGGCUCCGAUCCUGCGUUGCUGUGUCUGCGGCCGGUGUGGCCCUAAAAAGACAAACAACAACAGCAAAAACCCCUAAAGACACGUGGGGCUCAACCCACUUUGUUGGCUGCUUGGUUUGGAAAAAAAGGAGGAAGUUGUGCCAAUUCUGGCUUGGGAGCGGUGCCUCCAGGCGCCUGCGCACUGAAGGCGGGGAGGUGGAGUUGUGUGCGCCUGCGCAGGCCCGCAGUCAGGGGCCUUGGGACCGGGUGGGGACUAGGGGAGCUGUCAGCGUAGCUGCUCUGCGCAUCAUCGCCUCACCACUGCCCAGAUGCUUCCUUCAUUGUGGCCAGAACAGAACUCCCUGACCAGGAGCGCACCCCUUCCCAAUGACUCGCAGGCCCGCAGCGGGGCCCGGUUCCACACGUCCUACGACAGGAGGUACGUCAUCAAGACCAUCACGAGCGAAGACGUGGCCGAGAUGCACAACAUCCUCAAGAAGUACCACCAGUAUAUAGUGGAAUGUCAUGGGAUCACCCUUCUUCCCCAGUUCCUGGGCAUGUACCGGCUCAAUGUUGACGGAGUUGAAAUAUAUGUGAUUGUCACGAGGAAUGUGUUCAGCCACCGUUUAUCUGUAUAUAGGAAGUACGACUUAAAGGGUUCCACAGUGGCCAGGGAAGCUAGUGACAAAGAAAAGGCCAAAGAACUGCCAACUUUAAAGGAUAAUGAUUUCAUUAACGAGGGUCAGAAGAUUUAUAUUGAUGACAACAACAAAAAGGUAUUCCUGGAAAAACUGAAGAAGGAUGUUGAGUUUCUGGCGCAGUUGAAGCUCAUGGACUACAGCCUCCUGGUAGGAAUCCACGAUGUGGAAAGAGCUGAGCAGGAAGAAGUGGAGUGUGAAGAGAACGACGGGGAGGAGGAGGGGGAAAGCGAAGGCACCCACCCCGUCGGAACCCCUCCCGACAGUCCCGGAAACACGCUCAACAGCUCCCCGCCCUUGGCUCCGGGCGAGUUUGAUCCAAACAUUGAUGUUUAUGGAAUUAAAUGCCAUGAAAGUAAGCGGGGUUACUAUCAACGCUUUUUCUACCAUUGGUCUGGGUUUUUUUGCAUUGUUAUCUACCAGGAAUCAAUACCCCAGUUAAAAGCAUGCUGCCCUAUACGAACCAUUCUCCAGAGUCCCCCUAAUGGAUUUCAGGACAAGAGUAUGUUAAAGGUAACUGUCAUGUCUGGUUCUGAAGUGUCACGUGACAGGUCCUUGAAUUAUGUGACGUUGAGGGAACAGAACGGAGUGUGUUGCAUACGUACAGCGCACAUGCACAUGCUGUGUGAAUAUCCGUACCAUAUGUGACGAAGGUCUUCAAAUAGCUUUUCUCUUAGCUGUCUCUCUUUCCUGCGGCUCUCAAGUGUCUCAAGUCUGUCCUGAGCUAGGUACAUACGCGGUCCACUCCAAACCUCCCAUGGACGCGUCACGCACACCAGGCAUCGCAUUGCCACCAGCCACUUCCUUCUCAGAAGUGCUGAUGCUGGCCCCGGGAGCCAGAGGAGAAGCUCUGAUGUCCUCUGCUCUUCUCCCCCAUUAAGGGGUGGGUCUGUGGCCCUCUUCUCUAAAGUGAGAUCUGUCAAAAUCUGGGUGAUGGGAUAUCUGUAGGCAUACUACAUGCUACCUGAGCUACUUGCACAGGAAACCACCAAAAUAAUUUAGAGAUGAAAGCAUGCCUCUGAUUAAUAAAAACUGUGGUUCAUCAUUGUUUAGAAAAUAUCUCAUGGCAUAGCAGCCAGGUAAGUUUGCGUUGUGUAGUUGCAUUUUUUAUUUUGCUCACCAAAAUUGUCUCUUGGACACGGAAAGUUAGAUAUAGUCAAACGUACUUUUUCUUAUUGUUCAUAAUUGAAGCAGCAUCCUAUUCGUGGAAAUAGUAGAAGAUAUUGUAGAUGAUAUAUGCCUUUAUCCAAUUUUGAUACUAGAUCCAAUGAGAAUUAGGAACUGUUGUAUGUAAUGGUAGAAAAAAAUUAGGGAAUGUAAUUACUUCUACUUGUUUUAGAGAGUAUUUUUUAAAAUAGCAUUUUCCUUUACACCAAAGCAAUACACAAUUAUUAAAGAAUAUGCAGGUUAAGAAAAAAGGAAAAAUACUCAGUCUUACUGUUGGACCUCCUCUGCUAUAUUCUGGGGUUAUAUCCUCCUUUUACUUCUUAAACUGAGAGAGAACUGGGGACAAAAAGCUAAAUAAGCUGUUUCACAGGCACACGCAAGACUUUUUAAAGGCCUCUGCUGCCUUUGUUUUUGGAUCCCUUCAAUCCCUUCCAGUUGGACUCCCAGCCCCAUCAGAAGCUCAAGCCUCUCCAGGGUUGUCACCUGUCCUACAAUCACUGCUCUCAUCCCUUUACAGACUCGCCUAGGAAAGAGGUGUACUUUAUGGCAAUUAUUGACAUUCUGACUCAUUACGAUGCAAAAAAGAAAGCUGCCCACGCUGCAAAAACUGUUAAACACGGUGCUGGCGCAGAGAUCUCCACCGUGAACCCAGAACAGUAUUCGAAGCGCUUUUUGGACUUUAUUGGCCACAUCUUGACGUAACAUCCUGCACGGCCACAGACAGAUGUGAGCAUGGGAAGGACAGAGGUGGCUUCAGCGCAGGAAAAAUGAAAACCAAACUCAGUGAAGCACACCUCCUCGUUUACACCUUCAGGCCAAGACGACUGAUUUGGGGGCUACUCGCUUUAACAGCUACCUGAUAUUUCCCAGCAUCAUUCUAGCUAUUUCUGACGUGUGCGCGCGCGUUUGUGUGUGUGCGUGUGUGCAUCUUAAACAUUGAUCAGUGAAAACCGACCAGCUUUGGUCAGAGUGUGUUGGGGGCAACAACCCUCUGACUGCAGCUGUCGACGAAUGAGUGAGUGAGUGAGUGAGUUGGCACCUGCAGGGGGCGGGGAGAAGGCUGCGCAUGUCAGACCGACCAGGUCGGCACCACACGAGAAACUGUGGAUCAGUUUAUUUUUUGGAGUUGAAAGAUGUGAGACAGUAUUCGUAAUAAUAAUGAAGAUAAUAAUAAUGAAGAUAAUAAUAAUGAUGGUGAUUAAAAGAGGGGAAAAAACUUACCGCAAAUGUCACACUCUACUACGCACGCUGACACUCCUUCUUAACAGUCAUACCCCGGCCCCGGGCGGAGGAGGCUGGCAUCCCCCGUGCGUCCUGGUUCAGGUGUCGGCAUUCCCAGUGUCCAGGGACACACACCCCUCCUUCGGCAGGAAGCUGAUGCCCCUGGUGACUCUCUCUGUACAUUUUCACCUCAGUAAAUAUGUCCAGGAAAACUGCUUCUCUUUUCUUGCCUGGAGCUUCUUCACUGAUACACUCUUAUGUUGCAAUAUAGGAAUUAAUGCUACAAAAUAAAAUAAAGCUUUCCUUAAAAGUGCAUCGUUUUGGGCAAUGGUAUCUGCAUCUCCCAGAGUGGGAAGGCAAGCAAAGCAUUUAGAACUCUCAAUUCUCCUGUUAAACCAUAGUAUUUUGUUAUGAAUUAUCCCUUUAAUUGAAACCCUCAAUAUUACUGUUUACAUUAUUAGGAAAACAGGGAUUUUUUGAAUCUAAAAAUUUAAUGUACAGCAUGUGAUUUUUGAAGUUUACAUGUAAAGUCACUUGACAGUGUAGGUGAAAUGUUUGUCCUAUUUUGAAAUGUAUCCUGCAGUCACAUUUUGGGGUGAAUGUUUUAUUCAAAGUACCUGGUAGGCAGUCUUUUACAGGAAAAGGAAAAGGUUUGAUUUGUUUCCUCCAGAUAUACAUUUAUUAACCUAGUGAUUUUUUUUUAAGAAAAUGUUUAACCCAGAUCUGGUUAUGUAUGUUCAUUGCCCUAAACUGUGCUGUGUCUAAUCAAGUUAUAAAUUUCCAACACUGAUCAUGUAUUUACCAACUUCCGGCAUUUUCUGAAAGGCGUCAAGUGAAUACUAGAUUUGCUUAGAAUAGGUUAUCAAUUUAUACACUGUGCUAAAGCUGUGCCUUUGAAAUUCUCUGUUUAAAACGUGAGAUGAUUUUUGUAGGCAGGUUCAGAAAAGAAAAAAAAAAAAAAUCCCACUCUUCAAUAAUUACUUACAACUCAGCAAAUACCCCCUGCCAUACUGCCUCUUCCAGUGACUUGACUUCAGGGCUUACCAGAUCUGUGACUGCACCCCGUGUAUGUGGGUUGACUCUCGAACACACAAGGUGACAGCAAGUUGGAAUCCUGGGAAGCCAGCAGCAAGGCCAUUCUGCUCAUCUGCGGACUUCUCAUAGUUGUUAUCCUCAACAGAUGAUGUCAACGGCACUGUGACCUGUUGUCCAAAUCUGUUUUUUGUGUGUUUAAAUGAAUGGAGAUGGUGAUUUAAUACCCCCGCCCGUAAUUCAUUCUGGCAUCAAGUCCCUCUCAGUGUUCUGAAGUUCUGCUGUGGUUUCUUUGAUCCACGAUUACAGAAGUGAGACCCUGAAGUAAAGAGAAGGUACCCGUACAUUAUUUGAGUAACUGUUUCCUUUGUGGCCAAACUGUGUAUGCUUUUAGAAGUUUACAAAAUGCUUUAUUUUUGUCUGUAACAGUCUCUGUCUUCCAUUUCUGUUGGUCAACUCCUGGGACAGAGUGAGGACGUUUGCCUUGUAUUUCCUAGUGCUAACAGUACACUCCAGUCAUGAGCCAGGCUUUACGAAAUAAAGCACUUUGAUGACUCACAA